GACGGAGGAUGCAAGCGUUGUUCGGAAUUACUGGGCGUAAAGGGCGCGUAGGCGGUCAGUUAAGUCCCAUGUGAAAGCCCGGGGCUUAACGCCGGCAUGGCCUGGGAAACUGUCGGUCUAGAGUACAGGAGAGGUGAGUGGAAUUCCUAGUGUAGCGGUGAAAUGCGUAGAUAUCAGGAAGAACACCAGUGGCGAAGGCGGCUUACUGGCCCGAGACUGACGCUGAGGCUCGAAAGCUUGGGGAGCAAACAGG
rnacentral:rRNA from 1 species